AAACCAGCACCUCAAGUGGUCAGGAGGAUUAUUGGGCCUAAAGCAUCCGUAGCCUGCUUUGUUAGUUUUCGGUUAAAUCCAUAUGCUCAACAUAUGGGCUGCCGGGAAUACUGCACAGCUAGGGAGUGGGAGAGGUAGACGGUACUCCAUAGGAAGGGGUAAAAUCCUUUGAUCUAUGGAAGACCACCUGUGGCGAAGGCGGUCUACCAGAACACGUUCGACGGUGAGGGAUGAAAGCUGGGGGAGCAAACCGGAUUAGAAACCCGUGUAGUCC
rnacentral:rRNA from 1 species